UGCGAAACUCGAAUGAACGAACGGGGAGAUUCAUCGUUAUUCGCGGGCGUGUCUGCGCGCAUUCGAUACCUUCGACCUCGGUCGUGGGGUACUAUGCGCGCGGUGCGACGUUCCGCGACGGCGUGCACUUCUCCCUUAGUAAUGCAUCGCGACCCGUUCGAUGUCGGUCUAAGCUCCGUUCGGGAGUCAGUGUCGCUCGCCCCUCGGGGUAGCGGCGGUGACCGUGACGGUAGCCGACCGGCCGUCGGACGGUACAACAGCGGUACGCGCACGCGUUAACGCGCGUCCGGCCCGACGCAAGGUUGCGUCGUCUCACUCCCGUUCUGCCCGAGUGCGGGCGGGGGUGCGGCGCGCCUGUCGUCGCUGCCGUGCUGUCUCGGACUGUGCGCGUCCCUUGUCUGC
rnacentral:rRNA from 1 species